rnacentral:rRNA from 1 species
UACGUAGGGUGCGAGCGUUAAUCGGAAUUACUGGGCGUAAAGUGUGCGCAGGCGGCGUUGCAAGUCGAGUGUGAAAUCCCCGAGCUUAACUUGGGAAUUGCGCUCGAAACUACGAUGCUCGAGUGUGGCAGAGGAAGGUGGAAUUCCACGUGUAGCGGUGAAAAUGCGUAGAGAUGUGGAGGAACACCGAUGGCGAAGGGCA